CCCCUUUGAAAGGAGCGAGAGCGAGACCCCAUCUCUUUAUGGAAACUUCGGGUCACCACUUCCGAGAACCUCUUGCUGGGCAUCUUGGCCUUUGCCGAGAGGUCUGGAAAGGGCGCCCCUAGCCGGCGUCCGCGUCUGGGUGAAAACUACAUUACCCAGAUGUCUCUGCGCUGCGCGUCUGCGGCGCUGGGCCAAUGAAGGCCGAGGAGAAGGACGCUCUCAUACUUUGCGAAACCUGUCGAGGAGGGACUUCCGGCGUUCUCCCGGCGGCGGUCAUUUUGGUGACCAUGGGUCGGUCGGCUUGAUUCCGUUGUGCAGCUCUUGGUCCGGCCCGAGGUUUCCAUGGCUUCAGAAGCAUUUCAUGAGCAAUGUAUAGGAGUAGGCUGAGUGCAGCAGACUGGUUUGAUGUAAACAAAACCCAGAAACCCAUCUGCUCUUCUCCUUGGACACAGAGCUAAACCUCAGUUCCCAGCUGCAUCGAAAGAGGGAUACAGACUCACAGACAUAGAGAACAAGCUUGUGGCUGCCAAGGGGGAGGGCAGGGUGGGGGAGGGAUGGAUUGGGAAUUAGGGAUUAGUAGACGUAAUCUAUUAUAUAUAUGUAUGACUGAAUUGCUUUUCUGUACACCAGAAACUAACACAACAUUGUAAAUCAACUAUACUUCAAUAAAAUAAAUUGAAAAAGAAAAAAGGGAUGGCCAACUGCCGAGUUCUUGUCAAGAGUGUGAGGGGAAAUAACGUAGGUGUGACUUCCAUA